GGAGGCGAUAGGGGUCUGGUGGCCCUCCUGGUCUUCAAAACCAGCGGUCCGUUCGCAGCGGAUGGUGGGUUCGAUUCCCAUCCGCCUCCGCCA
rnacentral:tRNA from 1 species